AGUGAACGCUGGCGGUAGGCCUAACACAUGCAAGUCGAACGGCAACACAGUAAGAGCUUGCUCUUACGGGUGGCGAGUGGCGGACGGGUGAGGAAUACAUCGGAAUCUACUUUUUCGUGGGGGAUAACGUAGGGAAACUUACGCUAAUACCGCAUACGACCUACGGGUGAAAGCAGGGGAUCUUCGGACCUUGCGCGAUUGAAUGAGCCGAUGUCGGAUUAGCUAGUUGGCGGGGUAAAGGCCCACCAAGGCGACGAUCCGUAGCUGGUCUGAGAGGAUGAUCAGCCACACUGGAACUGAGACACGGUCCAGACUCCUACGGGAGGCAGCAGUGGGGAAUAUUGGACAAUGGGCGCAAGCCUGAUCCAGCCAUACCGCGUGGGUGAAGAAGGCCUUCGGGUUGUAAAGCCCUUUUGUUGGGAAAGAAAAGCAGCAGGUUAAUACCCCGCUGUUCUGACGGUACCCAAAGAAUAAGCACCGGCUAACUUCGU
rnacentral:rRNA from 1 species